rnacentral:tRNA from 1 species
UCCCUGGUAGCCCAGUGGCUAAGACUGUGUGCUCCCAAUACAGAGGGCCUGAGUUCGAUUCCCAGUCAGGGAA